rnacentral:rRNA from 1 species
UGAGGAAUAUUGGUCAAUGGGCGUAAGCCUGAACCAGCCAAGUCGCGUGAAGGAUGACUGCCCUAUGGGUUGUAAACUUCUUUUGUAAGGGGAGAAUAAACUCUACGUGUAGAGUGAUGCCUGUACUUUACGAAUAAACAUCGGCUAACUCCGUGCCAGCAGCCGCGGUAAUACGUAGGGAGCGAGCGUUGUCCGGAUUUACUGGGUGUAAAGGGUGCGUAGGCGGGAUGGCAAGUCAGAUGUGAAAUACCGGGGCUUAACCCCGGGGCUGCAUUUGAAACUGUCGUUCUUGAGUGAAGUAGAGGCAGGCGGAAUUCCUAGUGUAGCGGUGAAAUGCGUAGAUAUUAGGAGGAACACCAGUGGCGAAGGCGGCCUGCUGGGCUUUAACUGACACUGAUGCUCGAAAGUGUGGGUAUCAAACA